UUCUUCCCACCGCUCUCCUCUGCCUGCGCCCCGCAUUGGCCUCCUCCUUGGGCUGGCUCUCUGGAUGACAGCGAGAUGAUAGCAGUCCCCAGGCCUCAUAUCGUCAUAGAACAACCGCAGGCAGAGAAAGAUGGGGCAACUGAAGCAUACAGAGGAUAACUACCUUGGCCAAGGUCACACAGCUAGGAUGAACUCAGGCAACCUGCCUCUGGAAGCUGUGUUCUUCACCCCCAAGCUACCCAAUUUCCGUGGGAAUGAGCCUGCCCACCUGACUCAGUACGCGGGCCUCUCACUGUUGUGGCCUCUCCCGCCGCAGAGCACAGGC